UAUAUUGUUCAAAGCAUACAAAAAUGUAAAUUGGUUUUAAAUUACAAGUUACAUUUUUAAUUUUCAUUUAAAUGAUUAAAAAUUCUUUGCUGUAUAACAGUUUGAAACUGUUGUAAAAUUCAGUUUAAAUAUUCUACAAAAGGCUAAAAUCAGUUUAUUUUCUUAGUGGAUGUAGAAUAAUUCAGAUGUUACCAGUUUGUUGCAGAUGAAUAAAAGGAGGAAAAACAUUUUGAUUAAAAUUGUAAGUUCCCCAUUGCCAGCAGAGACCAGCUAGUUUUUUUUUGUUUGUUUGUACAUAUUAACAUUUAUUGUAAAUCCUUUUUUUCCUCAUUAGCUGAUAGUUGUGCUCAUGAUUCCAGCUGUUCUGUUGUUAAACUUGUUUUUGUGAACAGUCAUCAGCUCCAACCUGUGACUUAAUAAAAUGAGUUUUUGUAAGUUUCA